CACGGCGGUCAUAGCGGCGGGGUCACACCCGGUCUCGUUUCGAUCCCGGAAGUUAAGCCCGCCAGCGAUCCCGGUUGUACUGCCCUCCGAGAGGGGG
rnacentral:rRNA from 1 species